GUGGGAGGUGAGGAGAAAGGACCCUUCCAGAGGGCCCCCCCUCAAUCCUGUUGUGCCUAAUUCAGAGGGUUGGGUGGAGGCUCUCCUGAAGGGCUCUGAAGAGUGCUGCAGCCACA
rnacentral:pre_miRNA from 8 species